UACCUCAGCACACUGGUGGAUUAAGAAUGGGUUAUAAGCAUGUGAAAAUGUUGGAUUUGCUCACAAUUGCGGAGUGUCAGGAGCACAGGAGUUAAACAUUAUGUAGAAGAAUCAGGGACAAGAAAAAUGCAGAUGUUCAUUCUCCUGGUGCCUUUCAUGGUUGAUCUGGAUGCUAAACAGUCCUGGCAACUCUCUAUGAAAAAUGCUUCUCUGUCCUUUUCAUCACCCAAGAGAUUUCUAACUUCAUUUUAAAGAAGAUGGAAAGGAAAAUUCUGUGAUUCACUAAUAAAUGUUGCUGUAAU
rnacentral:lncRNA from 1 species